rnacentral:rRNA from 1 species
GUCGAGAAUUUUUCACAAUGGGCGCAAGCCUGAUGGAGCGACGCCGCGUGGGGGAUGAAUGGCUUCGGCCCGUAAACCCCUGUCAUUCGGGAUCAAUGCGCCCGGGUUAACACCCCGGAUGUUGAUAGUACCGGAAGAGGAAGGGACGGCUAACUCUGUGCCAGCAGCCGCGGUAAUACAGAGGUCCCAAGCGUUGUUCGGAUUUACUGGGCGUAAAGGGUGCGUAGGCGGUCGGUCAAGUCUGAUGUGAAAUUUCGGAGCCCAACUCCGAAACGGCAUUGGAUACUGUCCGGCUCGAGGUUGGGAAGGGAGACUGGAAUUCUCGGUGUAGCAGUGAAAUGCGUAGAUAUCGAGAGGAACACCAGUGGCGAAGGCGAGUCUCUGGACCAAUCCUGACGCUGAGGCACGAAAGCCAGGGGAGCAAACGGGAUUAGAUACCCUAGUAGUCC